CUAGAGAAGAAGUGCAGUCUGUGCUCUUUCCUCGUGGCUGAAGCUUGUUAUUUUCAUGAGAAGAUUGUGGAGAUUUAUCUAGCUUUAAAGACAGAAGACAGAAGUGUCACUUGUGUAUGAAUGUUUGACCAAAUCUUCAGUGAGACUCGGUCGAGACGAUUCUUCACACCAUCUGCCACGUGGAUACAGCUAAAGUCUAAUCACCUGUAAUUUCAGAAUAACAAAUCGUGCAUUAUUCUGAAACAUACAUCACAUGUUUUCAUUUUACUUUUCAAUUCUGAAAUAAAUGGUUCAAUUGUUUUAAAA